CUUUUAACAACGGAUCUCUUGGUUCUGGCAUCGAUGAAGAACGCAGCGAAAUGCGAUAAGUAAUGUGAAUUGCAGAAUUCAGUGAAUCAUCGAAUCUUUGAACGCACAUUGCGCCCUCUGGUAUUCCGGGGGGCAUGCCUGUUCGAGCGUCGCAAA
rnacentral:rRNA from 1 species